rnacentral:rRNA from 1 species
GGAUCAUCAGGUUGGUCGUGCCACUGGUAUGUACUAGCUUUGGUGGUUCCUCCCUCUUGAAGAACCGUAAUGUCAUUAACUUGAUGUUGCGGGGAAUCAGGACUGUUACUUUGAAAAAAUUAGAGUGUUUAAAGCAGGCAAACGCUUGAAUACAUUAGCAUGGAAUAAUGAAAUAGGACGUUUGAUCUUAUUUUGUUGGUUUCUAGGAUCGACGUA